GACGAAGGAGCCAAGCGUUGUUCGGAGUUACUGGGCUUAAAGAGUGCGUAGGCGGCUUGGAAGGUGCUUUGUGAAAUCCCCCGGCUCAACCGAGGAACUGCAGGGCAAACCACCGGGCUUGAGGCGGACAGGGGCGACUGGAACUCUAGGUGGAGCGGUGAAAUGCGUUGAUAUCUAGAGGAACGCCAGUGGCGAAAGCGGGUCGCUGGGUCUGUCCUAACGCUGAGGCACGAAAGCGUGGGGAG
rnacentral:rRNA from 1 species